AAACAACGGUAUUAAAGCAAUACAUUAUGAAAUAUAAAUUAACAAAGGGGAUUGAUUAAAUACAUAAUUAACGCGAUUAGUAUUUCAAUAAUAUCUCGAUUCUUUCUUUAUCUGUCUCUCUCGCUGAACAGCGAACACCUCCAAAUUGAUAGUCGAGAACCCAAAAAUGGCCGCCAUUGUUACGCGAAGGUUAAGCUCCAACUUUCUCAGGCCAUGCCUUCCUUCCACCUUUCUCAUCUCCCAAAACCCUCACGAACCCUUUGCUCGAAUCCCUUCUCCACAUUCUGAUCCCUCAUUUCAGCGAUCUCCUCGACGAAAAUUUCCAAACCCUACAGUUGACCUCUUCACUUCCCUCAUCGCUUCUCCAAAUCCCUCCCUCAGUUCCAUUUCGAAACUUAUCUUUUCCGAUUUACAGAUUCAGAGUAAUAGCCCUAAUUUCAACGGACCAAUCGGAUCCGGUCCUUGUUCGAUUAUGAAAUUAAGAAACCCUAGCUUCGUCUCCAUCUCGGGUUUCGAUCAGAAAUCUAGAUUUUCUUCAACCUCCGAGAAAGAGAACGAGCAGAAACCGGCUGAUUUCAAGCACCAAGACAUCGAAGGGCCGACCGUGGAGAGAGACUUGUCGGCGCUGGCUAAUGAAAACAGAGAGGUGGUGGAAGAGAUGAUGAAGAAUGUGUACAGGUUAAGCAAAGCUAUGGCGGUUUUGGGUCUGGUUCAACUCGGCAUUGGGGCUUGGAUUUCGUAUGCAACUCGGGCUUCACCGAUGACUGAAGUUUCGAUUCAAAGCUUUGUGGCGUUUGGGUUUCCUUUCUCGUUGGCGUUCAUUCUACGGCAGUCUCUGAAGCCGAUGAUGUUCUUCAAGAAAAUGGAGGAACAAGGUAGGUUACAGAUUCUAACGCUGAGUCUUCAGAUCGGUAAGAAUUUGAAUGCCCUGUUUGUUAGAGUGCGAACUGUUUCUUUCUUGUGUGUAACUGGAUUGUCUGUUGGUGUUCUGUUUGCUUUGCUUUCGAGAUGAAUCCAUUUGAGUUGGAAAUUCUUGGAUUAUCUAGUCUUGAUGAGUGUGUUGUGUUAGCGUCGAAUGACUUGAAUUUUGGGAACUUUCAAUGCCAAUCCCACCUUUUGCUUAGAUCACACUCGCAACUUUCUCUGUCUCUCUCGUUUGCACUCCCAUUCAUGUUUACACUUUAGUCUACCGAUCGACCUCUCAUCACUUGCUUUGACAAACUCUGCUUCUACCCACCUUUCAACUGUUUAUCACGGACGUGAGGAUUUGAAAGAAGAGUUCAAGGAUUUGCUCUUCUUCCAGUAUCUCAAGGAGAUAACUGGAGCGAUAAGAAGUGAAAGUAGUCAAUAUGUAAAAGAAAAAGAAAAAGAAAUAAAUAAAAUGUCAAACUAUUUACAGAAAUAGUAAAAAAAUAUCCAUAGAUUUACAUCGUUUUCAAUCUCUAUCAACAAUUAUCAUUAUUAUUCUUAUUAUUUAUCAUACAACUUUAAGAGGACCCCAAUCCUAUUAUAUCAAGAAGGUUGAAGUCAGAAAUAUCCAGAGCAUGUAAAAACAAAUUGAAAUCUCUCAUUAAAAAAAAUAUUAGGAAGAACUAUCAAUUUAUACCUUUAUUUUUAAGAGUUAUAUCAAUUAAAAUUCUAUAUUAAUAAUUAUAUCAAUUCAAACUCAAAAAAUUUUCUUCAUCAGUCGAUAAUUCAAGUUAGACUACUAUUUAUUAUAAUUACUCUUCUCCAAAAAAAAAAAAUUGGAAAGAAAAUUUAUCAUAUAUAUUUUUUUUUUUGACACAAGUAAAGAAAAAUGGAGCAAGACAACCAUAUGAAACGACUCAAAUUCAAUAAAAACAAAUUACUACUAUCUAUUUGGUUAUUGUAUUUUUCUUUAAUUUAUAUUAAAUGGUAAGACAUAAAUAAAAUAAAUAAUAGACAUACUCUUAGCAUUUCAAAUCAAUAUCAACCAGAAGGUUCAAGAAUAACAAUAUUGGAUCGAAUAAAAAAUUAGAAGAAAAAUAAAAAAUGAAAAAUGAAAGUGGUUUUUUUAAGGGGGAAAAUCUAUAUAAAAAGCAUCACCACGAUGAUGAUGAUCAUCCUUCCCUUCCUUUCAAUUCAAAAUUUUGCUAUUAAAUAAAAAUAUUCCAAAAACAUCACUUUCGACGUGUCGUUCAACCAAGGACUAAUACACAUAACAAAGAGUAGAAUCGAAACACGUAACCCAAACCCCGUAAACGGGACUCAUAGGAACACAAGCUUUUCUAGCUCGAUCGCCUACAGCCAGUUCCAUGUAAACUCGCCACUCUCUUCAUUCUCAUUGGUCACUCUCUUUCCUCCAAUCACAACACUCCAUGUAUUUCCACAACCAGCCCUUAAGAACUCGUAACGUUUUUGUUUUUAUUUAUUUAUUAUUUUUGGCCCACAUCGGACUUCCGAUUGCUCUAUAAAUGGGAAAUCCCAUUGUAAAGAAGUGGCUUUUCUCUCCACCUUCGAAACCCCAUUUCCUUUCUGAUCGUUGUAGGUGGAAGGAGGGGAGCGAAGAAUCGUCAUCUCGCUGGGAAUUUUAUGGUGUUUUUCUAUAAUCAUCGAUAAGGCAGCGGUCGAAUAGAGCAACC